CUGGGGAUAAUUCUACCCUGA
rnacentral:piRNA from 1 species